AAAUGUUCUGUUUUAGUAUUUGUCUAGUAGGGUCUUUUAAUACUAAGGACCCCCC
ensembl:snRNA U7 U7 small nuclear RNA